rnacentral:sRNA from 1 species
AGUUAUCUGGGUGUCUUAUUACGACUCCUUUACCCUCCUCCUUUGCUAAGGACUGGGAGACUUCUCCACUGCCUGGGAUGCUGGCCCCGGCAGCUGCCCCUGCCUUUGACAGUGACCCUGAGAUCUCCGACGUGGAUGAAGAUGAGCCAGGGGGUCUGGUGGGCUCUGCGGACGUUGUCUCCCCCAGCGGCCACUCAGAUGCCCAGACCCUAGCCAUGAUGCUACAGGAGCAGCUGGAUGCCAUCAAUGAGGAAAUCAGGAUGAUUCAGGAAGAGAAGGAGUCCACGGAGCUCCGCGCGGAGGAGAUUGAGACGCGUGUAACCAGCGGCAGCAUGGAGGCCCUAAACCUGAAGCAGCUGCGCAAGCGUGGUUCCAUCCCCACCUC